GGUUAAGCGACUAAGCGUACACGGUGGAUGCCCUGGCAGUCAGAGGCGAUGAAGGACGUGCUAAUCUGCGAUAAGCGUCGGUGAGGUGAUAUGAACCGUUAUAACCGGCGAUUUCCGAAUGGGGAAACCCAGUGUGUUUCGACACACUAUCAUUAACUGAAUCCAUAGGUUAAUGAGGCGAACCGGGGGAACUGAAACAUCUAAGUACCCCGAGGAAAAGAAAUCAACCGAGAUUCCCCCAGUAGCGGCGAGCGAACGGGGAGGAGCCCAGAGCCUGAAUCAGUGUGUGUGUUAGUGGAAGCGUCUGGAAAGGCGCGCGAUACAGGGUGACAGCCCCGUACACAAAAAUGCACAUAUUGUGAGCUCGAUGAGUAGGGCGGGACACGUGGUAUCCUGUCUGAAUAUGGGGGGACCAUCCUCCAAGGCUAAAUACUCCUGACUGACCGAUAGUGAACCAGUACCGUGAGGGAAAGGCGAAAAGAACCCCGGCGAGGGGAGUGAAAAAGAACCUGAAACCGUGUACGUACAAGCAGUGGGAGCCUCUUAAUGGGGUGACUGCGUACCUUUUGUAUAAUGGGUCAGCGACUUAUAUUCUGUAGCAAGGUUAACCGAAUAGGGGAGCCGAAGGGAAACCGAGUCUUAACUGGGCGUUAAGUUGCAGGGUAUAGACCCGAAACCCGGUGAUCUAGCCAUGGGCAGGUUGAAGGUUGGGUAACACUAACUGGAGGACCGAACCGACUAAUGUUGAAAAAUUAGCGGAUGACUUGUGGCUGGGGGUGAAAGGCCAAUCAAACCGGGAGAUAGCUGGUUCUCCCCGAAAGCUAUUUAGGUAGCGCCUCGUGAAUUCAUCUCCGGGGGUAGAGCACUGUUUCGGCAAGGGGGUCAUCCCGACUUACCAACCCGAUGCAAACUGCGAAUACCGGAGAAUGUUAUCACGGGAGACACACGGCGGGUGCUAACGUCCGUCGUGAAGAGGGAAACAACCCAGACCGCCAGCUAAGGUCCCAAAGUCAUGGUUAAGUGGGAAACGAUGUGGGAAGGCCCAGACAGCCAGGAUGUUGGCUUAGAAGCAGCCAUCAUUUAAAGAAAGCGUAAUAGCUCACUGGUCGAGUCGGCCUGCGCGGAAGAUGUAACGGGGCUAAACCAUGCACCGAAGCUGCGGCAGCGACGCUUAUGCGUUGUUGGGUAGGGGAGCGUUCUGUAAGCCUGUGAAGGUGUGCUGUGAGGCAUGCUGGAGGUAUCAGAAGUGCGAAUGCUGACAUAAGUAACGAUAAAGCGGGUGAAAAGCCCGCUCGCCGGAAGACCAAGGGUUCCUGUCCAACGUUAAUCGGGGCAGGGUGAGUCGACCCCUAAGGCGAGGCCGAAAGGCGUAGUCGAUGGGAAACAGGUUAAUAUUCCUGUACUUGGUGUUACUGCGAAGGGGGGACGGAGAAGGCUAUGUUGGCCGGGCGACGGUUGUCCCGGUUUAAGCGUGUAGGCUGGUUUUCCAGGCAAAUCCGGAAAACCAAGGCUGAGGCGUGAUGACGAGGCACUACGGUGCUGAAGCGACAAAUGCCCUGCUUCCAGGAAAAGCCUCUAAGCAUCAGGUAACAUCAAAUCGUACCCCAAACCGACACAGGUGGUCAGGUAGAGAAUACCAAGGCGCUUGAGAGAACUCGGGUGAAGGAACUAGGCAAAAUGGUGCCGUAACUUCGGGAGAAGGCACGCUGAUAUGUAGGUGAAGCGACUUGCUCGUGGAGCUGAAAUCAGUCGAAGAUACCAGCUGGCUGCAACUGUUUAUUAAAAACACAGCACUGUGCAAACACGAAAGUGGACGUAUACGGUGUGACGCCUGCCCGGUGCCGGAAGGUUAAUUGAUGGGGUUAGCGGUAACGCGAAGCUCUUGAUCGAAGCCCCGGUAAACGGCGGCCGUAACUAUAACGGUCCUAAGGUAGCGAAAUUCCUUGUCGGGUAAGUUCCGACCUGCACGAAUGGCGUAAUGAUGGCCAGGCUGUCUCCACCCGAGACUCAGUGAAAUUGAACUCGCUGUGAAGAUGCAGUGUACCCGCGGCAAGACGGAAAGACCCCGUGAACCUUUACUAUAGCUUGACACUGAACAUUGAGCCUUGAUGUGUAGGAUAGGUGGGAGGCUUUGAAGUGUGGACGCCAGUCUGCAUGGAGCCGACCUUGAAAUACCACCCUUUAAUGUUUGAUGUUCUAACGUUGGCCCCUAAUCGGGGUUGCGGACAGUGUCUGGUGGGUAGUUUGACUGGGGCGGUCUCCUCCUAAAGAGUAACGGAGGAGCACGAAGGUUGGCUAAUCCUGGUCGGACAUCAGGAGGUUAGUGCAAUGGCAUAAGCCAGCUUGACUGCGAGCGUGACGGCGCGAGCAGGUGCGAAAGCAGGUCAUAGUGAUCCGGUGGUUCUGAAUGGAAGGGCCAUCGCUCAACGGAUAAAAGGUACUCCGGGGAUAACAGGCUGAUACCGCCCAAGAGUUCAUAUCGACGGCGGUGUUUGGCACCUCGAUGUCGGCUCAUCACAUCCUGGGGCUGAAGUAGGUCCCAAGGGUAUGGCUGUUCGCCAUUUAAAGUGGUACGCGAGCUGGGUUUAGAACGUCGUGAGACAGUUCGGUCCCUAUCUGCCGUGGGCGCUGGAGAACUGAGGGGGGCUGCUCCUAGUACGAGAGGACCGGAGUGGACGCAUCACUGGUGUUCGGGUUGUCAUGCCAAUGGCACUGCCCGGUAGCUAAAUGCGGAAGAGAUAAGUGCUGAAAGCAUCUAAGCACGAAACUUGCCCCGAGAUGAGUUCUCCCUGACUCCUUGAGAGUCCUGAAGGAACGUUGAAGACGACGACGUUGAUAGGCCGGGUGUGUAAGCGCAGCGAUGCGUUGAGCUAACCGGUACUAAUGAACCGUGAGGCUUAACCUU
rnacentral:rRNA from 1 species